rnacentral:rRNA from 1 species
GACGAACGCUGGCGGCGUGCUUAACACAUGCAAGUCGAACGAUGAAGCUGGAGCUUGCUCCGGUGGAUUAGUGGCGAACGGGUGAGUAACACGUGAGCAAUCUGCCCUUGACUCUGGGAUAACUGCGGGAAACUGUAGCUAAUACCGGAUACUUUCACUGGAAGGCAUCUUCUGGUUAAGAAAGAAUUUCGGUCAAGGAUGAGCUCGCGGCCUAUCAGCUUGUUGGUGAGGUAACGGCUCACCAAGGCGACGACGGGUAGCCGGCCUGAGAAGGUGACCGGCCACAAUGGGACUGAGACACGGCCCAGACUCCUACGGGAGGCAGCAGUGGGGAAUAUUGCACAAUGGGCGCAAGCCUGAUGCAGCAACGCCGCGUGAGGGAUGAAGGCCUUCGGGUUGUAAACCUCUUUUAGCAGGGAAGAAGCGAAAGUGACGGUACCUGCAGAAAAAGCACCGGCUAACUACGUGCCAGCAGCCGCGGUAA